rnacentral:rRNA from 1 species
UACGAAGGGGGCUAGCGUUGCUCGGAAUCACUGGGCGUAAAGCGCACGUAGGCGGAUUGUUAAGUCAGGGGUGAAAUCCUGGAGCUCAACUCCAGAACUGCCUUUGAUACUGGCGAUCUCGAGUCCGGGAGAGGUGAGCGGAACUGCGAGUGUAGAGGUGAAAUUCGUAGAUAUUCGCAAGAACACCAGUGGCGAAGGCGGCUCACUGGCCCGGUACUGACGCUGAGGUGCGAAAGCGUGGGGAGCAAACAGG